GCUACAGUGUCCCAAUUGUGUCCAAACUUAAAUAAACACGUGUUUUGUCUGUGUGUAGCAAACUUUUCUUGGGGCUAUAAGGAACUGAUAGUCUCUCUAGUCUGUGCAGGGCAUUUCUUACCCAAGCAGAGGUGAAACUGGAAGUCUCAGGCCCCGGUGCAAGAAUCUGUUAAGGCCCCCCUUGCUAUAGAGCAGAGAUGGUCAAUUGGUAGACACAUAUGCACAGUGUGACAAACGCUCCUUCCCACAAACACUUGCCACGAACUCCUGGAGGAGUGUGAAAGCUGACCUAGUUGCUGAAACACUCCUGUG